GCCGCCGCGGUAAUACGGGGGAUGCGAGCGUUAUCCGGAUUUAUUGGGUUUAAAGGGUGCGUAGGCGGAAGUGCAAGUCAGCGGUGAAAUCCCCGCGCUCAACGCGGGAGUUGCCGUUGAUACUGUACAUCUGGAAUGCUCUUGCCGUGGGAGGAAUGAGUAGUGUAGCGGUGAAAUGCAUAGAUAUUACUCAGAACACCGAUUGCGAAGGCAUCUCACGAAGGGGCGAUUGACGCUGAGGCACGAAAGCGUGGGUAUCGAACAGGAUUAGAUACCCC
rnacentral:rRNA from 1 species